GCCAUAACUCAGAGGCUGAGCUUCUGUUUUGCAUGCAGAAGGUCACAGGUUCAAUCCCUCAUAUCUCCA